rnacentral:rRNA from 1 species
UACGGAGGGGGCUAGCGUUGUUCGGAAUGACUGGGCGUAAAGCGCAUGUAGGCGGAUAGUUAAGUCGGGGGUGAAAUCCCGGGGCUCAACCCCGGAAUGGCCUUCGAUACUGGCUGUCUGGAGUCCGGAAGAGGUGAGUGGAAUUCCGAGUGUAGAGGUGAAAUUCGUAGAUAUUCGGAGGAACACCAGUGGCGAAGGCGGCUCACUGGUCCGGUACUGACGCUGAGAUGCGAAAGCGUGGGGAGCAAACAGG